rnacentral:rRNA from 1 species
UAGUCCACGCCGUAAACGAUGAUUACUCGGUAUUGGCGAUACACUGUCAGUGCCCAAGCGAAAGCGUUAAGUAAUCCACCUGGGGAGUACGUUCGCAAGAAUGAAACUCAAAGGAAUUGACGGGGGUCCGCACAAGCGGGGGAGCAUGUGGUUUAAUUCGAUGAUACGCGAGGAACCUUACCUGGGCUAGAAUGCUUUUGGACAGAUGCCGAAAGGUGUUUUUCUCUUCGGAGACCGAUUGCAAGGUGCUGCAUGGUUGUCGUCAGCUCGUGCCGUGAGGUGUUGGGUUAAGUCCCGCAACGAGCGCAACCCCUAUCCUUAGUUGCCAGCGAGUAAUGUCGGGGACUCUAGGGAAACUGCCUACGCAAGUAGUGAGGAAGGCGGGGAUGACGUCAAAUCAUCAUGGCCCUUACGCCCAGGGCUACACACAUGCUACAAUGGUUGAUACAGAGGGUAGCGACAUAGCGAUAUGAAGCCAAUCUCAAAAAGUCAAUCUCAGUUCGGAUUG